UCUUGGUGGUUUGAGCGGCGGGGGUACACCCGUUCCCAUCCCGAACACGGCAGUUAAGCCCGUCAGCGCCGAUGGUAGUCGCAAGGCAAGAGUAGGCCGCCGCCAAGAUU
rnacentral:rRNA from 1 species